rnacentral:rRNA from 1 species
AGCAGUGGGGAAUAUUGCACAAUGGGGGAAACCCUGAUGCAGCCAUGCCGCGUGUGUGAAGAAGGCCUUCGGGUUGUAAAGCACUUUCAGUAGGGAGGAAAGGGUGAGUCUUAAUACGGCUCAUCUGUGACGUUACCUACAGAAGAAGGACCGGCUAACUCCGUGCCAGCAGCCGCGGUAAUACGGAGGGUCCGAGCGUUAAUCGGAAUUACUGGGCGUAAAGCGUGCGCAGGCGGUUUGUUAAGCGAGAUGUGAAAGCCCUGGGCUCAACCUAGGAAUAGCAUUUCGAACUGGCGAACUAGAGUCUUGUAGAGGGGGGUAGAAUUCCAGGUGUAGCGGUGAAAUGCGUAGAGAUCUGGAGGAAUACCGGUGGCGAAGGCGGCCCCCUGGACAAAGACUGACGCUCAUGCACGAAAGCGUGGGGAGCAAACAGGAUUAGAUACCCUGGUAGUCCACGCCGUAAACGAUGUCUACUCGGAGUUUGGUGUCUUGAACACUGGGGCUCUCAAGCUAACGCAUUAAGUAGACCGCCUGGGGAGUACGGCCGCAAGGUUAAAACUCAAAUGAAUUGACGGGGGCCCGCACAAGCGGUGGAGCAUGUGGUUUAAUUCGAUGCAACGCGAAGAACCUUACCUACUCUUGACAUCCACGGAAGAGACCAGAGAUGGACUUGUGCCUUCGGGAACCGUGAGACAGGUGCUGCAUGGCUGUCGUCAGCUCGUG